AUAUUUAGUAACGGAAGGACCUAACGCUGCUAGACCGUAGUACGAGUACAUAAGGACGUGAAUAAAGCUAUUCACCAUUGCUGGAUGAAGAAAAAUGUAUCACAGAACUCCAGAAGUUUACUGAAGUAGUACCACCAGACAGCAUUAGCGAUCUGGCAAAGAAGAAAAGAAAAUUGUUGCAGGAAGUUGACACACAUAACUGUAACGUAACCUGGUGGAGGCUACAAAUAACUGCGAAGAAUCAAUAUACGGAUUAAUCUAUCGAGCU